UACGUAGGGUGCGAGCGUUAAUCGGAAUUACUGGGCGUAAAGCGUGCGCAGGCGGUUUUGUAAGCCAGAUGUGAAAGCCCCGGGCUUAACCUGGGAAUGGCAUUUGGGACUGCAAGGCUGGAGUGUGGCAGAGGAGACGUGGAAUUCCUGGUGUAGCAGUGAAAUGCGUAGAUAUCAGGAGGAACACCGAUGGCGAAAGGCAGGUCUCUGGGCUGACACUGACGCUCAUGCACGAAAGCGUGGGGAGCAAACAGGAU
rnacentral:rRNA from 1 species